CAAUGUCACUCCCUGCUCUUCUUGCUCCCCUGCAGGUGGAUCAGAGGGGGCCAUGGGCCUCCUGGUACCUCUUCACCCCUUUGCUCACCAGUUUGGUUAUUCCCUCCAGAGGCUAAACCAUCUGCUAAGGCCACACUGGACCUUGAAAAGAUACUAAUUGUGAGGGUGAUGGUAACUGCGACACCAGCAAUGGCUGUCUCCUCACUCUGUUCCCCACUGAUCCCAGCAUUCCUCAAGGGGCCUCAGCCAUCCAGAUGGUGCCAGGCACAAAUCAACCUACAGGUGCAGACCUGCUCAGAUUAGAUGGAUUGACAGGUGAGGGGGCCAGGGUAGGAACGGCAUGAGAACA
rnacentral:lncRNA from 1 species